rnacentral:lncRNA from 1 species
GCAUGGAACGAGGUAAUACAGUUAGGUUUAGUUUUGAUUUGGCUGUCUUACCUCCCCGUACAGCAGUCUUGGCCUCUUCCCCAUCCGCCCUCGCUGUAGCACAUGGCUGUCAACAUUGUAUUCUCCUCGGCUUGCAGGAUCCCCAAGUGACUCGCAGAUGCGAAGGAAAAUUGAGCAAGGUUCUGCCUCCCAUGGUUGAGCAGUCAUAAGGGUUAUGUUGUCUCUCCAUGUUGCUGGCAUAUGAGCCCAACUAAUAUUUGCUUCCUGUGAUCUAGGGAAGGAUAAGAUUGAUGUUUCCUACCUGCCAUACUCAUCUAUUUCGUCUUUCAGUUGACAUGCCUACUGUACGAAUUACAGUCUUUGGUACAUUCACUUAUCCCUUCGAAUUUGACAAGCAUGGAAGAAUCUGAAUAUCACAAGUUAUGAUUUCUUUGUUUCCUAAUCAUCCCUCUCCCGUUAUUAUUUAGCAUUGGCUAACUGACUGCGGUGUUUAUGCUUAUAUCCUUCGGUUAUAGUUUAUAACAAACCAAAUUAAGGAUUUUGUGUUCAUCUCUGAAAAUUCAUAAUGAUGUUUGGUAUUUAAUCUUUCAAGGAAAUGCAGCAAAGCUGUUGUACUAGGAAGAUUAUCCUGACAUGGAGUUUUUUAGGAACAGGAGAGUCGCACACAUCUAAAGUAUAGAAAUUUAUUCUUAAUGUGCUAGGCUUAAUGCAACUAAGAUAAAUGUUCAACAAGGCUUAUUGAUCUGUUAAAUUGUUCUCAGUUUCAGAUGUCAAUACAAGAAAGGUAACCUUGUGUUAGAUCUUCAAUCCAAGGGAGAAAUUGGAGCAUCGGGACAUUUAAACUGAACCUAAAUUAAG